rnacentral:misc_RNA from 1 species
GAAAUGCGAUAAUUAAUGUGAAUUGCAGAAUUCAGUGAAUCAUCGAGUCUUUGAACGCACAUUGCGCCCCCUGGUAUUCCGGGGGGCAUGCCUGUCCGAGCGUCAUUGCUGCCCUCAAGCACGGCUUGUGUGUUGGGCUUCCGUCCCUGGCAACGGGGACGGGCCCAGAAGGCAGUGGCGGCACCAUGUCUGGUCCUCGAGCGUAUGGGGCUUUGUCACCCGCUCCCGUAGGUCCAGCUGGCAGCUAGCCUCGCAACCAAUCUUUUUAACCAGGUUGACCUCGGAUCAGGUAGGGAUACCCGCUGAACUUAAGC